rnacentral:rRNA from 1 species
CUUUCAAGUGUCUGCCUUAUCAACUUUCGACGGUAGGUUACAAGCCUACCGUGGUUAUAACAGGUGACGGGGAAUUAGGGUUCGAUUCCGGAGAGGGAGCCUGAGAAACGGCUGCCACAUCUAAGGAAGGCAGCAGGCGCGCAAAUUACCCACUCCCGGCACGGGGAGGUAGUGACGAAAAAUAACAAUACGGGACUCUACCGAGGCCUCGUAAUUGGAAUGAGUACAAUUUAAAAUCAUUAAUGAGGAUCUAUUGGAGGGCAAGUCUGGUGCCAGCAGCCGCGGUAAUUCCAGCUCCAAUAGCGUAUAUUAAAGUUGUUGCGGUUAAAAAGCUCGUAGUUGGAUCUCAGUUCUGGGUGAGCACGGGUCCGCCAUAACAUUGGUGGACUGCUGACUUGCCCGGUGCAAAAUCGCCCGGCUUCCCCCACGGUGCUCUUCACCGAGUGUCGUGGGUGGCCGACACGUUUACUUUGAGAAAACCAGAGUGCUUAAAGCAGGCGCAAGACGCCCGAAUGACUGUGCAUGGAAUAAUGGAAGAGGAUCUCGCUUCUGUCUUUGUUGGUUCCUCGGAAGGCGAGAUAAUGAUUAAUAGAAGCAGUCGGGGGCAUUCGUAUUGCGACGUUAGAGGUGAAAUUCUUGGAUCGUCGCACGACGAACUACUGCGAMGCUUUGCCAAGAAUGUUUUCGUUAAUCAGAACGAAAGUCAGAGGUCGAAGGCGAUCAGAUGCCCCACAAGAAGGGCAGGCAGCCUCCGGGAAACCAAAGUCUUUGGGUUCCGGGGGAAGUAUGGUUGCAAAGCUGAAACUUAAAGGAAUUGACGGAAGGGCACCACCAGGAGUGGAGCCUGCGGCUUAAUUUGACUCAACACGGGAAACCUCACCAGGCCCGGACACCAAAAGGAUUGACAGAUUGAGAGCUCUUUCUUGAUUUGGUGGGUGGUGGUGCAUGGCCGUUCUUAGUUGGUGGAGCGAUUUGUCUGGUUAAUUCCGAUAACGAACGAGACUCUAGCCUGUUAACUAGCCGGUGGAUCAAUAAAUUGAUAUGCGGCGAAGCGGUGUUGCUACUUUUCGGAGUGCAUCCCGCAUAGUCGCGUCCACCGAGUCUUCUUAGAGGGACAGGCGGCGUUUAGCCGCACGAGACGGAGCAAUAACAGGUCUGUGAUGCCCUUAGAUGUCCUGGGCCGCACGCGCGCUACACUGAAGGAGUCAACGUGCACUCCCAGCCCGAGAGGGCCGGGUAACCCGCUGAAAUUCCUUCGUGAUUGGGAUCCGGGGUUUGCAACUAUCCCCCGUGAACGAGGAAUUCCCAGUAAGCGCGAGUCAUGAGCUCGCGUUGAUUACGUCCCUGCCCUUUGNACACACCGCCCGCUGCUACCACCGAUGAAUGACUAGUGAGGCUCCGACUGGCUCUGCCGGGUGCCACUUUGGGCAUUCGUUGU